rnacentral:rRNA from 1 species
UGGAAACUGGAUGGCUUGAGUGUAGGAGAGGUUAGUGGAAUUCCCGGUGUAACGGUGAAAUGGCGUAAAGAUCGGGAGGACACCAGUGGCGAAGGCGACUAACUGGACUAUGACUGACGCUGAGGCGCGAAAGUGUGGGGAGCAAACAGGAUUAGAUACCCUGGUAGUCCACACUGUAAACGAUGAAUGCUAGGUGUAGGGGGUAUCGACCCCUUCUGUGCCGGAGUAAACACAAUAAGUAUCCCACCUGGGGAGUACGGCCGCAAGGUUGAAACUCAAAGGAAUUGACGGGGGCCCGCACAAGCAGUGGAGUAUGUGGUUUAAUUCGAAGCAACGCGAAGAACCUUACCAGGACUUGACAUCCUCUGACCGCCAUAGAGAUAUGGUUUCCCUUCGGGGCAGAGAGACAGGUGGUGCAUGGUUGUCGUCAGCUCGUGUCGUGAGAUGUUGGGUUAGUCCCGCAACGAGCGCAAC